rnacentral:rRNA from 1 species
CCUACGGGCGGCAGCAGUGAGGAAUAUUGGUCAAUGGCCGGAAGGCUGAACCAGCCAAGCCGCGUGAAGGACGAAGGUGCCAAGCAUUGUAAACUUCUUUUGUCAAGGGACAAAAUCAGGCUCGAGAGCCUGACCGAGGGUACUUGAAAAAAAAGCAUCGGCUAACUCUGUGCCAGCAGCCGCGGUAAUACGGAGGAUGAGAGCUUUAGCCGGAUUUAUUGGGUUUAAAGGGUGCGUAGGGGGAGGGUUAAGUCAGUGGUCAAAUUGAGGGGCUAAACCCCUUACCGCCAUUGAUACUGGCGCUCGUGAGGGGAAGAGAAGUAUGCGGAAUGCGUGGUGUAGCGGUGAAAUGCAUAGAUAUCACGCAGAACCCCGAUUGCGAAGGCAGCAUGCCGGCUUCCUACUGACGCUGAAGCACGAAAGCGUGGGGAUCGAACAGGAUUAGAUACCCCGGUAGUC